rnacentral:lncRNA from 1 species
AUACUUCAGGGAUCUUAACCCAAAAGCAUGGAGGUCCACACCAUCCUCCAGGAUACUACAGUUGACAACUGGAUCCCAUCUCCUGUGGAUUCCCUCUCUGCCUAAGAGCAGUCCCCGCUGCAUCCUUGUUAGUCAAGGCGACUGAGGAGAUAGUCAUGGGAUUCCUCCCUGACUGUGUUUUUUCCUCAUGCCAUGGAAGCCGUUUUACACACUCAUCACACUUGGCAUUUUUCUGCUAGCGGACUAACCUCCUAUGAACCUCUUCUACUUACUAUUCAUCAUAUUAUUCAAUCAUGCUGCAAUAACCUUAACCCUGUGGCUCUCUGGACCUCUCCAUCAGAUGAAACACCACAUGGCUGCUUAACUCUGACAGACCAGCUUUUAAUUCCUUGGGAGCAAUUCCUGUGGACAAUGCUGAGUUGUCCUGGUUUACAGAUGGCUCACAUUUAAAGAAUGAGUCUGGCAAGUAUUGUGCAGGCUGUGCAGUCGUGACUUCCUUUGAGAUUGUGAAAGCAGCUCAUUUACUAUUAACUACUUCAGCCCAGCAGGCAGAUCUGUUUGCCCUCGCUUGAGCCUGACUCCUUGCUACAGGAAAGACAAUGUUUAUGUAAGCAGCAGGUGAAUACUUGGCAGGACAACAGGCAGACAAGGAGCAGCCUGGGCUACACCCUCCUCCAUCCAGCUUGGCAGGGAAGGUUGGGGCAGG